rnacentral:rRNA from 1 species
UACGUAGGGGGCUAGCGUUGUCCGGAAUCAUUGGGCGUAAAGAGCGUGUAGGCGGCCCGGUAAGUCCGCUGUAAAAGUCAAAGGCUCAACCUUUGAAUAUCAGUGGAUACUGCCGGGCUAGAGUCCGGAAGAGGCGAGUGGAACUCCUGGUGUAGCGGUGGAAUGCGCAGAUAUCAGGAGGAACACCGGUGGCGAAGGCGGGUCUCUGGGCAAUAACUGACGCUGAGGAGCGAAAGCGUGGGGAGCGAACAGG